UACGAAGGGGGCUAGCGUUGUUCGGAAUUACUGGGCGUAAAGCGCACGUAGGCGGAUUGUUAAGUCAGAGGUGAAAUCCCGGAGCUCAACUUCGGAACUGCCUUUGAUACUGGCAAUCUAGAGUCCGGAAGAGGUUAGUGGAAUUCCCAGUGUAGAGGUGAAAUUCGUAGAUAUCGGAGGAACACCAGUGGCGAAGGCGGCUCACUGGCUCGGUACUGGACG
rnacentral:rRNA from 1 species